AACGAACGCUGGCGGCAGGCCUAACACAUGCAAGUCGAACGCCCCGCAAGGGGAGUGGCAGACGGGUGAGUAACGCGUGGGAACGUGCCCUUCGGUUCGGAAUAACUCAGGGAAACUUGAGCUAAUACCGGAUACGUCCGUAAGGAGAAGAUUAUCGCCGAAGGAUCGGCCCGCGUCGGAUUAGCUAGUUGGUGAGGUAACGGCCCACCAAGGCGACGAUCCGUAGCUGGUCUGAGAGGAUGANCA
rnacentral:rRNA from 1 species